UAUGCAUUUGUGUAUCUCUUGUUCUGGUGUGCAGAUGGUUUAGACCUGCUGUACGAGUGGCUGGUGUUGCUAGUUCUUGACAUUACUUUAGCAACUGAAGCAUUCGAGGGCCUCUUAGUUAUCACCUUUUUGGACGCUCUUGGUCUUGAACACAUGUAGCAUCAGAUAUUGAUGUGAAUGAUUGGGACUUUCCUUGGUAGUAUUUGGACAGCCCUUUCCUGUGGGAAUUGAAUUAUGUGUAAGCAAAUUUGAAUGCUUGACAAUUGAAGUGAAGUUCGUGAAGAGGGCAAAUAUACGCACCUGAUUGGAAGCUGGGCUAGCAGAGUGGACAACUCGUACAGUGGAUCCUCGGUAUCCAGCUGCAACAUGCUCGAAGAUGCUGAUGACGGUUCAGAGGGAUGAAGAGGUGGGGAUGAUGUUGCGUCAUCAGACAGAUUUGAAGCUGAUGAGCACAAGGACUCGCUAGAUGCACCCGAGAAGGAAGCAGACUCAGAGUAAUCCCCACCUCGUUCAUCGCAGCUCUCAUCGUGAGAUGGUACAUUGCAAGGCUCUGCCAUUUCAUAGGAAGCUCUGCUCAAAGUUUGGAACUUGGAAGGCAAAGGAACGCAACUUAUGUUGAUAUAUAGAGACGUAGGAAGAGAUAGCUGCUCAAACGGGUAGAUAGAUAUGCAUCUUGUUUUAAUCAGAUAGGCUCCAUCAACUCGGCGCCAGAGAGAAGGAAGAAAUUGACGCCAGUGGCAGUUAUUCUGUGCAGAUCAAUGGUAGCCUGAUUGGGGAGCAUGUGAAAACGACGUCCUCUGGCUGCUUCAGAUAAGCAUCUUAUCCCGGUCUAAGAAAAGGAGGUUUAUCCCCGCGGAUGAGGAAGGAUAAGGUUGAUAAUGGCUGCAAGAAGGUGCUUUCUGUUAGCUUGGGGAUCCUGCCUAGGGUGUUGAUUAUGGUAACUAAAAGCGAGAUUGGUUUCUUUAUUGCGUCCCGGCAGACUUGUGCAGCCAGUCGGCUGGAUCUCAGUCAAGUCGUCAUCAACAAUGGAGUAAUUAAAGAAACCACGCUCCCUUAUCCUGCACAUGUUCUCAGGAAUGGUUAGUUCAUGCUGAUUAAUGAAGAUAUAUACGGUAUAUGCAGUAGAUAUGUAUGUUUGCUUCUCUUUAAGCUUUCUGAAGAAGUUUGGUACUGUAAUAAUUGGUUAAUAGGCAAAGGGCAUGUUUAGAAGUCAUGAAGUUACAUAACACAAUUUGCUGAGGGCAUUUCCUAAUGCAUUCGCAGAGCAGUCGCAGGUUUCCUACAGAAGCAGUUGUCAGUUA